GUCCACAUUUUCAGCCCUCAGUGCUUUCCUUUCACAAAACCCUGCUCACAAGAUAACUGCAGGCUCGAGCCAUGAAUCCAUUUUCUCUUAUUUGCAUGAAUUUUCCACAGAGUCCUUCAGAAGAUAAUCUGAUGCGUCUGUGACCAGACUACAAACAGACCUGCUCAGCUGUGACUUCUGUGAACAGACUUUGAUGCUCUCAGCCUAUUUUUAAUCCACUUAAGUGCAAGCUUUAGUGAGAGGCUUAACUCUUCCCUGCUUCGUGUCAUCUAUCCCUGAAUCAUGGCCAAGAGCAUGGCUUUCCCUCCUAGAGAUGCUGGGAAAAGCAGGAGUCUAUUUCUCUUGGAAGAGAAAAUUUGAAUUUAAAACAGAA